AAUAACAUCAAUAUCGCAUGAGAAGAUGUAGAAAGUCGCUCUUUGUGGCGACGUCUUUUGGAUGAGGGGUGCGACGUAUCAGAUAGUUGGUGAGGUAAUGGGCUCACCAAGUCAAUGACGCGUAGCUGUACUGAGAGGUAGAACAGCCACAAUGGGACUGAGACACGGCCCAUACUCCUACGGGAGGCAGCAGUAGGGUAAUUUUCACAAGUGGGCGCAAGCCUUAUGAAGCAAUGCCGCGUGAACGAUGAAGGUCUUAUAGAUUGUAAAGUUCUUUUAUAUGGGGAAGAAACGCUAAAAUAGGAAAUGAUUUUAGUUUGACUGUACCAUUUGAAUAAGUAUCGGGCUAACUAUGUGCCAGCAGCCGCGGGUAAAUA
rnacentral:rRNA from 1 species